rnacentral:rRNA from 1 species
UACGGGGGGGGGCAAGCGUUGUUCGGAAUUACUGGGCGUAAAGGGCUUGUAGGUGGCCAACUAAGUCAGACGUGAAAUCCCUCGGCUUAACCGGGGAACUGCGUCUGAUACUGGAUGGACUGGAGUGUGGGAGAGGGUAUGCGGAAUUCCAGGUGUAGCGGUGAAAUGCGUAGAUAUCGGAGGAACACCGGUGGCGAAGGCGGCAUCCUGGACCAUUACUGACACUGAAAAGCGAAAGCCAGGGGAGCAAACGGG